UGGGGAAUUUUGGACAAUGGGCGAAAGCCUGAUCCAGCAAUGCCGCGUGUGUGAAGAAGGCCUUCGGGUUGUAAAGCACUUUUGUCCGGAAAGAAAUCCUUGGCUCUAAUACAGUCGGGGGAUGACGGUACCGGAAGAAUAAGCACCGGCUAACUACGUGCCAGCAGCCGCGGUAAUACGUAGGGUGCAAGCGUUAAUCGGAAUUACUGGGCGUAAAGCGUGCGCAGGCGGUUUGCUAAGACCGAUGUGAAAUCCCGGGCUCAACCUGGGAACUGCAUUGGUGACUGGCAGGCUAGAGUAUGGCAGAGGGGGGUUAGAAUUCCACGUGUAGCAGUGAAAUGCGUAGAGAUGUGGAGGAAUACCGAUGGCGAAGGCAGCCCCCUGGGCCAAUACUGACGCUCAUGCACGAAAGCGUGGGGGAGCAAACAGGAUUAGAUACCCCUGGGUAGUCCACGCCCUAAAACGAUGUCAACUAGUU
rnacentral:rRNA from 1 species